GAUGAAGAACGUAGCGAAAUGCGAUAAGUAGUGUGAAUUGCAGAAUUCAGUGAAUCAUCGAAUCUUUGAACGCACAUUGCGCCCCUUGGUAUCCCGAGGGGCAUGCCUGUUCGAGCGUCAUUGCUGCCCUCAAGCACGGCUUGUGUGUUGGGCCUCCGUCCUCCUCCCGGGGGACGGGCCCGAAAGGCAGCGGCGGCACCGCGUCCGGUCCUCGAGCGUAUGGGGCUUCGUCACCCGCUCUUGUAGGCCCGGCCGGCGCUUGCCGACACAUCAAUCUUUUUUCCAGGUUGACCUCGGAUCAGGUAGGGAUACCCGCUGAACUUAAGCAUAUCAAUAAGCGGAGGA
rnacentral:misc_RNA from 1 species